AUUAGUAUCAUGUCGUAGACCCGAAACCAUGUGACCUACCCAUGAGCAGGUUGAAGGUGAGGUAAAACUCACUGGAGGACCGAACCAGGGCACGUUGAAAAGUGCUUGGAUGACUUGUGGGUAGCGGAGAAAUUCCAAACGAACUUGGAGAUAGCUGGUUCUCUCCGAAAUAGCUUUAGGGCUAGCGUCGAUGUUAAGUCUCUUGGAGGUAGAGCACUGUUUGGGUGAGGGGUCCAUCCCGGAUUACCAAUCUCAGAUAAACUCCGAAUGCCAACGAGAUAUAAUCGGCAGUCAGACUGCGAGUGCUAAGAUCCGUAGUCGAAAGGGAAACAGCCCAGACCACCAGCUAAGGUCCCAAAAUAUAUGUUAAGUGGAAAAGGAUGUGGGGUUGCACAGACAACUAGGAUGUUAGCUUAGAAGCAGCUAUUCAUUCAAAGAGUGCGUAAUAGCUCACUAGUCGAGUGACCCUGCGCCGAAAAUGUACCGGGGCUAAAACAUAUUACCGAAGCUGUGGAUACCUUUAUAGGUAUGGUAGGAGAGCGUUCUAUGUGCGAAGAAGGUGUACCGUGAGGAGUGCUGGAGCGCAUAGAAGUGAGAAUGCCGGUAUGAGUAGCGAAAGACAGGUGAGAAUCCUGUCCACCGUAAGACUAAGGUUUCCAGGGGAAGGCUCGUCCGCCCUGGGUUAGUCGGGACCUAAGGAGAGACCGAAAGGUGUAUCCGAUGGACAACAGGUUGAUAUUCCUGUACUAGAGUAUAUAGUGAUGGAGGGACGCAGUAGGCUAACUAAACCAGACGAUUGGAAGUGUCUGGCCAAGCAGUGAGGUGUGAUAUGAGUCAAAUGCUUAUAUCUAUAACAUUGAGCUGUGAUGGGGAGCGAAGUUUAGUAGCGAAGUUAGUGAUGUCACACUGCCGAGAAAAGCUUCUAGCGUUAAUUAUACUCUACCCGUACCGCAAACCGACACAGGUAGUCGAGGCGAGUAGCCUCAGGUGAGCGAGAGAACUCUCGUUAAGGAACUCGGCAAAAUGGCCCCGUAACUUCGGGAGAAGGGGCGCUGACUUAUGGUCAGCCGCAGUGAAUAGGCCCAAGCAACUGUUUAUCAAAAACACAGCUCUCUGCUAAAUCGUAAGAUGAUGUAUAGGGGGUGACGCCUGCCCGGUGCUGGAAGGUUAAGAGGAGUGCUUAGCGUAAGCGAAGGCAUGAAUUGAAGCCCCAGUAAACGGCGGCCGUAACUAUAACGGUCCUAAGGUAGCGAAAUUCCUUGUCGGGUAAGUUCCGACCCGCACGAAAGGCGUAAUGAUUUGGGCACUGUCUCAACGAGAGACUCGGUGAAAUUUUAGUACCUGUGAAGAUGCAGGUUACCCGCGACAGGACGGAAAGACCCCAUGGAGCUUUACUGCAGUUUGAUAUUGAGUAUCUGUACCACAUGUACAGGAUAGGUAGGAGCCUAUGACCUCGGGACGCCAGUUUCGAGUGAGGCGUUGUUGGGAUACUACCCUUGUGUUAUGGCUACUCUAACCCAGAUAGGUUAUCCCUAUCGGAGACAGUGUCUGACGGGCAGUUUGACUGGGGCGGUCGCCUCCUAAAAGGUAACGGAGGCGCCCAAAGGUUCCCUCAGAAUGGUUGGAAAUCAUUCGCAGAGUGUAAAGGUAUAAGGGAGCUUGACUGCGAGAGCUACAACUCGAGCAGGGACGAAAGUCGGGCUUAGUGAUCCGGUGGUUCCGCAUGGAAGGGCCAUCGCUCAACGGAUAAAAGCUACCCUGGGGAUAACAGGCUUAUCUCCCCCAAGAGUUCACAUCGACGGGGAGGUUUGGCACCUCGAUGUCGGCUCGUCGCAUCCUGGGGCUGUAGUCGGUCCCAAGGGUUGGGCUGUUCGCCCAUUAAAGCGGCACGCGAGCUGGGUUCAGAACGUCGUGAGACAGUUCGGUCCCUAUCCGUCGCGGGCGUAGGAAAUUUGAGAGGAUCUGCUCCUAGUACGAGAGGACCAGAGUGGACUUACCGCUGGUGUACCAGUUGUUCUGCCAAGAGCAUCGCUGGGUAGCUAUGUAGGGAAGGGAUAAACGCUGAAAGCAUCUAAGUGUGAAACCCACCUCAAGAUGAGAUUUCCCAUAACGCAAGUUAGU
rnacentral:rRNA from 1 species